rnacentral:rRNA from 1 species
GAUGAACGCUAGCUACAGGCUUAACACAUGCAAGUCGAGGGGAAACGACAUCGAAAGCUUGCUUUUGAUAGGCGUCGACCGGCGCACGGGUGAGUAACGCGUAUCCAACCUGCCCACCACUUGGGGAUAACCUUGCGAAAGUAAGACUAAUACCCGAUGAUAUCCCUAGAAGACAUCUGAAAGGGAUUAAAGAUUUAUCGGUGAUGGAUGGGGAUGCGUCUGAUUAGCUUGUUGGCGGGGUAACGGCCCACCAAGGCAACGAUCAGUAGGGGUUCUGAGAGGAAGGUCCCCCCACAUUGGAACUGAGACACGGUCCAAACUCCUACGGGAGGCAGCAGUGAGGAAUAUUGGUCAAUGGGCAGAGCCUGAACCAGCCAAGUAGCGUGCAGGACGACGGCCCUAUGGGUUGUAAACUGCUUUUAGUGGGAAUAAAGUGCGGGACGCGUCCCGUUUUGUAUGUACCAUCAGAAAAAGGACCGGCUAAUUCCGUG